CCAUUACUAAUUUUGUUAGUAUCUUAUUUUCUAUUUAAAUGUGGGGUAUUGCUAGAGUUUGAAUAGAAAAUGUGGGGUAUUGUUGGAACUUGUGAACUUGUGGGGGACCAUUAGUCCCACAUCGUCCAUUCCUCUUCCACAUAUCCUCUUUAUAAGUGUGUUCCCACACUUAUGGUUUGAAAGAAAUUGGGCCAAAGCCAUGGACCUUAGGCCUUAGACUUGGAGGGUUUAGGUGCAUAUAUUAAAUGUCAAAGAUGGGUCUUGGGCCUUGGGGCUCUUGGGCUCAGAUGGAUGAAAAACACAAGUAUUUUUUUACAUUUUUUAUUUUUGCAUUCAGUUUUUUCCAAAAGGAUAAAACUGCUCACAUGAACAAUUACAACCGUUCUUAAAGAUAAACAUGAACGGCUUUAACUGCUCCAUUACGCCAUUAUAUAUAUGGCAGUCAAAUUAGAAACCAAAAUAACAAUUCCAUCGCUUCCUUUUUAUACUUCACAGAGAAACACCACAACCAAUUCGCCAAGAAUUCAAGUUUGAGUGCAAGAACUUGGGUUAGAUAGUUGUAUCUUGCAAGAUAGAUGUCCAUUGAACUGCUACACUGGUGUAGAGACGAAUUUAUGUCAUUGCUUCUGCAAGCCUCUAUCUUCAAAGAACAAGUCAGUGAUUUGUGAUUUUAUAUGCAAUUUCAUUAAGUGUUUAUAUUUUGAUAUAUUGUAUCUGUUGUUGAAUUUUUCAUUAGAAAUAAACUGUGCAAAUUGUAAUGUAUUAUAUA
rnacentral:lncRNA from 1 species